AUACAUUAUUGUUUGUGUUGAUUCAGUAAUGUUGCUCUCAGAAGAGCCUAAGGAAUGCAAACCAGUAGCUUAAAGCUCUCCUAUAGGAAAGUAACUCUUAACUUUUAGAUAGGAAAAGCUGUGCUUAAUGUUUUCAGUUGACCAAAGCAUGUGAUCCGAUGCACUGCCAGCAGAGAUCAACUGCCGUUGGAGCUUGGAUGGGAUGAGAAGCCUGGGUGCUCUGCUGACACUAAUGCUGUCACCGCACUACUUGGGACUCCGCAUUUCUUCUUGAGACAAAUACCUGAACAAUUUUCAUCUAGUAAGCGAGCCUGAAAUAUGAAGAAGUCAGCAGCAGCUGUCAUCUGUGUAAGAUCCACAAAAGGAGUGCCUGACUGCAAAAGAACUGUAUCUGAGUUGAAGGCCUAGCAAAUGUCUACAAGAAAGUCCUGCUGCAGUAAAGUAUUUCUGAAACAGGUGGGUGGUGAUGAUGACAGAAGAGCUUUUGC